CCUACGGGAGGCUGCAGUGGGGAAUAUUGGACAAUGGGCGAAAGCCUGAUCCAGCCAUGCCGCGUGUGUGAAGAAGGCCUUCGGGUUGUAAAGCACUUUCAGUGGGGAAGAAAGCCUUGGGGCUAAUACCCUCGAGGAAGGACAUCACCCACAGAAGAAGCACCGGCUAACUCCGUGCCAGCAGCCGCGGUAAUACGGAGGGUGCGAGCGUUAAGCGGAAUUACUGGGCGUAAAGCGCGCGUAGGCGGUCUGAUAAGCCGGUUGUGAAAGCCCCGGGCUCAACCUGGGAACGGCAUCCGGAACUGUCAGGCUAGAGUGCAGGAGAGGAGAGUAGAAUUCCCGGUGUAGCGGUGAAAUGCGUAGAGAUCGGGAGGAAUACCAGUGGCGAAGGCGGCCUUCUGGACUGACACUGACGCUGAGGUGCGAAAGCGUGGGUAGCAAACAGGAUUAGAUACCCGGGUAGUC
rnacentral:rRNA from 1 species